CAGGCUCGCAGACAUUGGCCCUUUCCCGUUGCCCCAGCAGCUAAGUCAGGGGCUACUCAGCUUCCCCUGGGGCUCAGCUCCUCACCCCGAUCCUGUCCCCACUUCAGCUCUUGUUUUUUUGGCUUUUAUUUGUAUGAAUUCCUUGGGAACUUCACAUGUAUUUCGAUCACAAUCCCUCCUCUACCCCUCUCCUCCCAGAACCACCCCCAUCCUAUUCCAGCUCACCGACUCCGUGUCCUUAUUCAUUUCUGCUAAACUUUUUGUUUUCGAGCUUUCUUUUUAAUUAUGUAUAUGUGCCCAGGGAGGCUAGAGAACUCAGAUCUCCCUGUGGCAGUCGUGAGUUGCCCAUCACUAUAGGUGCUGGGAGUCGAACUUGUGUCCUCUGCAAGAGCAGUGUGUGCUCUUAGCCACCGAGCCAUUUCUUCAGCCCCCUGGCUUUGUUUUUGUUUGUUUUGUUGUUGAGAUAGGUCCCACACAUCCUGGGCUGGACUUUAAAUAGCUAUGGGGUUAAAAAGACCUUGAGCCUUUCAUCCUCCUGCCUCCACUGCCCAAGUCUGGGAUGCUCCACCGUUUAUGAGGGGCUGGGGAUGGAACUCAGGCUAGUCUAACAUUUUGCCAUCUGAGCUGUAUCCCCAGGGCAUUCAAGCUCUUCCUCGUGUUCCUGUCUGGAAUCUGGCUGAGAAUCUCCUACUGUUGCUGUCAACCAAUCUCAUCCGUGUCUGUUUCCCACACAACUCCACCUUCAGCUGGGGCCUGAGGGUACCCUGUGCCCACCACUCCCUUCCCAUCCAUCUUAUUCAUCUCACCAUCCGGCCAUCUACCCAUGUGCCAGAGAGGACCCCGAGUCGUAGCAUCACAGACUUAGCACUCUCGGAGGCUCCUCUCUUCUGUCUGAUGGACGGCUGCACACACCGAGGGCACUGAGCUCGCCUGAGCUUGCAGGACAUCCCAUUUCAGGGUGAGGAGGCAGCAAGCCUGCUCUAUGGACCUGAAGGCCACAGACUGUACCUCAUCCAUCUGUGCAUGUGUGUGCAAGUGUGUGUGGGUAUGUAUGUGUGGGUAUGUAUGUGUGCAAGUGUGUGUGGGCAUGUAUGUGUGCACAAGUGUGUGUGCAUGUAUGUGUGGGCAUGUAUGUAUGCACAUGUGUGUGUGCAAGUGUGUGUGGGCAUGUAUGUGUGUGCAUGUGUGUGUGUGUGUACAGUCUAUAUAGCAUAAAUGAAGUCCAGAAUAGAGCACUGAUCCCUGGCUCUGGAGCUAUAUGUGGGUGUGAGCCAUCUGACGUGGGUGCUGGGACCCACACUGACCUCUAGAAGGCAGUGAGCACUCCUAACCACUGAGCCAUCUUUCCAGCCUCCUAUUAAACUAUUUCUUUCGAGACCUAUUUUUGUUAUUUUAUGGAUAUAAGUGUUUG
rnacentral:lncRNA from 1 species